CUGCUUUGGCAGCACAUUUACUAAAAUUAGAAUGAAUCAGAGAAAAUUAUCAUGGGCUGUGUGCAAAGAUGACAUGCAAAUUUGUGAAGCAUUUCAUAUUUUU